GACGAACGCUGGCGGCGUGCCUAAUACAUGCAAGUCGAGCGAAUCACUAGGAGCUUGCUCCUGGUGGUUAGCGGCGGACGGGUGAGUAACACGUGGGCAACCUGCCUGUAAGACUGGGAUAACACCGGGAAACCGGUGCUAAUACCGGAUAAUCCUUUUCCUCUCAUGAGGAAAAGCUGAAAGUCGGUUUCGGCUGACACUUACAGAUGGGCCCGCGGCGCAUUAGCUAGUUGGUGAGGUAACGGCUCACCAAGGCGACGAUGCGUAGCCGACCUGGGGGGGUGAUCGGCCACACUGGGACUGAGACACGGCCCAGACUCCUACGGGAGGCAGCAGUAGGGAAUCUUCCACAAUGGACGAAAGUCUGAUGGAGCAACGCCGCGUGAGCGAUGAAGGCCUUCGGGUCGUAAAGCUCUGUUGUUAGGGAAGAACAAGUACCGGAGUAACUGCCGGUACCUUGACGGUACCUAACCAGAAAGCCACGGCUAACUACGUGCCAGCAGCCGCAGUAACAC
rnacentral:rRNA from 1 species